UUUAAGUGCAACCAUAAUUUUUCGUCCCCAACUUUAAUCGUCCGUCUUAUUUGAAGUUUUUAUAAUUAGUAUUUUUGUUGUUAUGAGAUGAUAAAACAUGAAUAGUACUUUAUGCGUGACUAAUAUUUUUAAACUAUUUUAAAAAAAUUAAAUAAGACGGAUGAUUAAAGUUGGACACGGAAAAUCAUGGCUGCACUUAAA
rfam:Oryza glumipatula chromosome 4, whole genome shotgun sequence.